AUACGGAGGAUGCAAGCGUUAUCCGGAUUUAUUGGGUUUAAAGGGAGCGUAGGCGGUUUGCUAAGCGGGAGGUGAAAUGCCGGCGCUCAACGUCGGAAGUGCCUCCCGAACUGGUGGACUGGAAUGACUCUGCCGUGGGAGGAAUGUGUAGUGUAGCGGUGAAAUGCUUAGAGAUUACACAGAACACCGAUUGCGAAGGCAUCUCACGAAGGGUUGAUUGACGCUGAGGCACGAAAGCGUGGGGAUCAGACAGGAUUAGAUACCCUGGUAGUCCACGGAGUAAACGAUGAUGGCUAACCGCUGGUUUUUUCGGAUCAGUGGCCAAGCGAAAGCGAUAAGCCAUCCACCUGGGGAGUACGUUCGCAAGAAUGAAACUCAAAUGAAUUGGCGGGG
rnacentral:rRNA from 1 species